rnacentral:rRNA from 1 species
UACGGGGGGGGCAAGCGUUGUUCGGAAUUACUGGGCGUAAAGGGCUCGUAGGCGGCCAACUAAGUCAUACGUGAAAUCCCUCGGCUUAACCGGGGAACUGCGUCUGAUACUGGAUGGCUUGAGAUUGGGAGAGGGAUGCGGAAUUCCAGGUGUAGCGGUGAAAUGCGUAGAUAUCUGGAGGAAUACCGGUGGCGAAGGCGGCAUCCUGGACCGGCAUUGACGCUGAGUGAGCGAAAGCCAGGGGAGCAAACGGG